rnacentral:rRNA from 1 species
GACGAACGCUGGCGGCGUGCUUAACACAUGCAAGUCGAACGGAAAGGCCCCUUCGGGGGUACUCGAGUGGCGAACGGGUGCGUAACACGUGAGUAACCUGCCCUUGACUUCGGGAUAACUUCAGGAAACUGGGGCUAAUACCGGAUAGGAAUCCUUGCUGCAUGGUGGGGGUUGGAAAGCUUCGGCGGUUUUGGAUGGACUCGCGGCUUAUCUGCUUGUUGGUGGGGUAGUGGCUUACCAAGGCUUUGACGGGUAGCCGGCCUGAGAGGGCGACCGGCCACAUUGGGACUGAGAUACGGCCCAGACUCCUACGGGAGGCAGCAGUGGGGAAGAUUGAACAAGGGGCGGAAGCCUGAUGCAGCAACGCCGCGUGCGGGAUGACGGCCUUCGGGUUGUAAACCGCUUUCAGCAGGGGCGAAGCUUGUGGUGACGGUACCUGCAGAAGAAGCACCGGCUAACUACGUG